UCUCUGGUGGCUCAAACGGUGAAGAAUCUGCCUGCAAUGCAGGAGAUCCAGGUUCAAUCCCUGGGUUGGGAA
rfam:Ovis aries breed Texel chromosome 14, whole genome shotgun sequence.